UUACGGCCAUAUCACGUUGAAACACAGGUUCUCAUUCAAUCACCGAGGUUAAGCCACGUCGAGCAUCGUCAGUACUUAGAUGGGUGACCGG